rnacentral:rRNA from 1 species
UACGUAGGGUGCGAGCGUUGUCCGGAAUUAUUGGGCGUAAAGGGCUCGUAGGCGGUCUGUUACGUCGGGAGUGAAAACUCAGGGCUCAACCCUGAGCCUGCUUCCGAUACGGGCAGACUAGAGGUAUGCAGGGGAGAAUGGAAUUCCUGGUGUGGCGGUGAAAUGCGCAGAUAUCAGGAGGAACACCGAUGGCGAAGGCAGCUUACUAAGGAGUAACUGACGCUGAGGCACGAAAGUGUGGGGAUCAAACAGG